CCCUUAGAUGUUCUGGGCCGCACGCGCGCUACACUGAUGCAUUCAACGAGCCUAUCCUUGACCGACAGGUCCGGGUAAUCUUGUGAAUGCGCAUCGUGCUAGGGAUAGAUUGUUGCAAUUUUCAAUCUUGAACGAGGAAUUCCUAGUAAACGCAAGUCAUCAGCUUGCAUUGAUUACGUCCCUGCCCUUUGUACACACCGCCCGUCGCACCUACCGAUUGAAUGACUCGGUGAAAAAUUGGGACCGUGAGUCUGUUUGCUUCAUUGCGAGUGGAUUGAUGGGAACUUUUUUAAACCUCGCCAUUUAGAGGAAGGUGAAGUCGUAACA
rnacentral:rRNA from 1 species